rnacentral:rRNA from 1 species
AAUAGAUACCCUGGUAGUCCACGCCGUAAACGAUGAGUGCUAAGUGUUAGAGGGUUUCCGCCCUUUAGUGCUGCAGCUAACGCAUUAAGCACUCCGCCUGGGGAGUACGGCCGCAAGGCUGAAACUCAAAGGAAUUGACGGGGGCCCGCACAAGCGGUGGAGCAUGUGGUUUAAUUCGAAGCAACGCGAAGAACCUUACCAGGUCUUGACAUCCUCUGCCAACCCUAGAGAUAGGGCGUUCCCCUUCGGGGGACAGAGUGACAGGUGGUGCAUGGUUGUCGUCAGCUCGUGUCGUGAGAUGUUGGGUUAAGUCCCGCAACGAGCGCAACCCUUGAUCUUAGUUGCCAGCAUUCAGUUGGGCACUCUAAGGUGACUGCCGGUGACAAACCGGAGGAAGGUGGGGAUGACGUCAAAUCAUCAUGCCCCUUAUGACCUGGGCUACACACGUGCUACAAUGGAUGGUACAAAGAGCUGCGAACCCGCGAGGGUAAGCGAAUCUCAUAAAGCCAUUCUCAGUUCGGAUUGUAGGC